AACGAACGCUGGCGGCGUGGAUAAGACAUGCAAGUCGAACGGGACAACAUCUGUGGCAAUACAGGUGUUGUUUAGUGGCGAACGGGUGCGUAACACGUGGGCAAUCUGCCGAGAAGUGGGGGAUAGCUCGCCGAAAGGCGAAUUAAUACCGCAUGUGGUGAGGGAAGACAUCUUCCUGAAUCCAAAGCCGGGGUAACCUGGCGCUUUUUGAGGAGCCCGCGGCCUAUCAGCAGUUGGUGAGGUAACGGCUCACCAAGGCUUUGACGGGUAGCUGGUCUGAGAGGACGACCAGUCAUACUGGAACUGAGACACGGUCCAGACACCUACGGGUGGCAGCAGUCGAGAAUUUUUC
rnacentral:rRNA from 1 species